UACAGAGGGUGCGAGCGUUAAUCGGAAUUACUGGGCGUAAAGCGCACGUAGGCGGCGACGUAAGUCGGGUGUGAAAGCCCCGGGCUCAACCUGGGAAUUGCAUUCGAGACUGCAUUGCUGGAGUACGGAAGAGGAAGGCGGAAUUCCCGGUGUAGCGGUGAAAUGCGUAGAUAUCGGGAGGAACAUCAGUGGCGAAGGCGGCCUUCUGGUCCAGUACUGACACUCAAGUGCGAAAGCGUGGGGAGCAAACAGG
rnacentral:rRNA from 1 species